rnacentral:rRNA from 1 species
CAGUCGCCGCGGGAAUACGUAGGGUGCGAGCGUUAAUCGGAAUUACUGGGCGUAAAGCGUGCGCAGGCGGUUCGUUAAGACAGAUGUGAAAUCCCCGGGCUUAACCGGGGAACUGCAUUUGUGACUGGCGAGCUAGAGUAUGGCAGAGGGGGGUAGAAUUCCACGUGUAGCAGUGAAAUGCGUAGAGAUGUGGAGGAAUACCGAUGGCGAAGGCAGCCCCCUGGGCCAAUACUGACGCUCAUGCACGAAAGCGUGGGGAGCAAACAGGAUUAGAUACCCCCGUAGUCCCUGUCUCUUAUAC